AUUGAACGCUGGCGGCAGGCCUAACACAUGCAAGUCGAACGAGUGGCGGACGGGUGAGUCAUGUCUGGGACACUGCCCGAUGGAGGGGGAUACCUACUGGAACCGGUAGCUAAUACCGCAUACCAUCGGAUUUGCCCAGAUGGGAUUAGUUAGUAGGUGGGGUAACGGCUCACCUAGGCGACGAUCCCUAGCUGGUCUGAGAGGAUGACCAGCCACACUGGAACUGAGACACGGUCCAGACUCCUACGGGAGGCAGCAGUGGGGAAUAUUGCACAAUGGGCGAAAGCCUGAUGCAGCCAUGCCGCGUGUAUGAAGAAGGCCUUCGGGUUGUAAAGUACGUUCAGCGAGGAGGCGUUACUCGCAGAAGAAGCACCGGCUAACUCCGUGCCAGCAGCCGCGGUAAUUC
rnacentral:rRNA from 1 species